UAGGGAAUCUUCCACAAUGGACGCAAGUCUGAUGGAGCAACGCCGCGUGAGUGAAGAAGGCUUUCGGGUCGUAAAACUCUGUUGUUGGAGAAGAAUGGUCGGCAGAGUAACUGUUGUCGGCGUGACGGUAUCCAACCAGAAAGCCACGGCUAACUACGUGCCAGCAGCCGCGGUAAUACGUAGGUGGCAAGCGUUAUCCGGAUUUAUUGGGCGUAAAGCGAGCGCAGGCGGUUUUUUAAGUCUGAUGUGAAAGCCCUCGGCUUAACCGAGGAAGCGCAUCGGAAACUGGGAAACUUGAGUGCAGAAGAGGACAGUGGAACUCCAUGUGUAGCGGUGAAAUGCGUAGAUAUAUGGAAGAACACCAGUGGCGAAGGCGGCUGUCUGGUCUGUAACUGACGCUGAGGCUCGAAAGCAUGGGUAGCGAACAGGAUUAGAUACCCUGGUAGUCCAUGCCGUAAACGAUGAAUGCUAGGUGUUGGA
rnacentral:rRNA from 1 species